GACGAACGCUGGCGGCGUGCCUAAUACAUGCAAGUCGAGCGGACGGAUGGGAGCUUGCUCCCAGACCGUCAGCGGCGGACGGGUGAGUAACACGUGGGCAACCUGCCUGUAAGACUGGGAUAACUCCGGGAAACCGGGGCUAAUACCGGAUAACUCUUUCCCUCACAUGAGGGAAAGCUGAAAGAUGGCAUCUCGCUAUCACUUACAGAUGGGCCCGCGGCGCAUUAGCUAGUUGGUGAGGUAACGGCUCACCAAGGCGACGAUGCGUAGCCGACCUGAGAGGGUGAUCGGCCACACUGGGACUGAGACACGGCCCAGACUCCUACGGGAGGCAGCAGUAGGGAAUCUUCCGCAAUGGACGAAAGUCUGACGGAGCAACGCCGCGUGAGUGAUGAAGGUUUUCGGAUCGUAAAACUCUGUUGUCAGGGAAGAACAAGUACCGGAGUAACUGCCGGUACCUUGACGGUACCUGAACAGAAAGCCACGGCUAACUACGUG
rnacentral:rRNA from 1 species